CCUACGGUGAGCAGCAGUGGGGAAUAUUGGACAAUGGGCGAAAGCCUGAUCCAGCCAUGCCGCGUGUGUGAAGAAGGCCUUCGGGUUGUAAAGCACUUUCAGUGGGGAAGAAAGCUUUGGGGCUAAUACCCUCGAGGAAGGACAUCACCCACAGAAGAAGCACCGGCUAACUCCGUGCCAGCAGCCGCGGUAAUACGGAGGGUGCGAGCGUUAAUCGGAAUUACUGGGCGUAAAGCGCGCGUAGGCGGUCUGAUAAGCCGGUUGUGAAAGCCCCGGGCUCAACCUGGGAACGGCAUCCGGAACUGUCAGGCUAGAGUGCAGGAGAGGAAGGUAGAAUUCCCGGUGUAGCGGUGAAAUGCGUAGAGAUCGGGAGGAAUACCAGUGGCGAAGGCGGCCUUCUGGACUGACACUGACGCUGAGGUGCGAAAGCGUGGGUAGCAAACAGGAUUAGAUACCCGUGUAGUC
rnacentral:rRNA from 1 species